rnacentral:rRNA from 1 species
GACGAACGCUGGCGGCGUGCUUAACACAUGCAAGUCGAACGGUAAGGCCCUUCGGGGUACCCGAGUGGCGAACGGGUGAGUAACACGUGGGUAAUCUGCUCUGCACAUCGGGAUAAGCCUGGGAAACUGGGUCUAAUACCGCAUAGGACCACAGGACACAUGUCCUGUGGUGGAAAGCUUUUGCGGUGUGGGAUGGGCCCGCGGCCUAUCAGCUGGUUGGUGGGGUGAUGGCCUACCAAGGCGACGACGGGUAGCCGGCCUGAGAGGGUGUCCGGCAACACUGGGACGGAGAUACGGCCCAGAGUACGCCGGGGGGCAGAAGUGGGGAAUAUUGCACAAUGGGCGAUAGCCUGAUGCAGCGUCGGUGCGGAAGGGAUGACGGCCGUCGGGUUGUAAACCUCUUUCAGAAACGAAGAAGGUCCGGGUUUUCUCGGGCUGACGGUAGGUGGAGAAGAAGCACCGGCCAACUACGUG